GGUCAAGCUACAAGGGCUCAUGUGAUACCUU
rnacentral:rRNA from 1 species